rnacentral:rRNA from 1 species
UUUGACGCAAGUUGCGCCCGAGGCCUUUUGGCUGAGGGCACGCCUGCUUGGGCGUCACGCAUCGCGUCGCUCCGCGCACCCCGCUCGGAUGCGGAUAUUGACCCCCCGUGCUUCACGGCGCGGAGGGUCAAAGUGUGAGCCGCCGGCCGGAUUGGACGUGGCGAGGGGUGGACGAACACUCUCGACGCUGAACGUCGCGCACCAACAUCCGACCACGGUGGUUCUAGAAAAGAACCCACACCGAAUGGAGGCUUGCGAGCACCCUCGGACCACGACCCCAGGUCAGGCGGGGCUACCCGCUGAGUUUAAGCAUAUCAAUAAGCGGAGGAGAAGAAACUUACAAGGAUUCCCCUAGUAACGGCGAGCGAACCGGGAAGAGCCCAUCUUGGGAAUCGGGGGGCCGCCCCGCUCAAAUUGUAGUCGGGAAAAGC